GAUGAACGCUGGCGGCGUGCCUAAUACUUGCGAGUCGAGCGAACGGACGAGAAGCUUGCUUCUCUGAUGUUAGCGGCGGACGGGUGAGUAACACGUGGAUAACCUACCUAUAAGACUGGGAUAACUUCGGGAAACCGGAGCUAAUACCGGAUAAUAUUUUGAACCGCAUGGUUCAAAAGUGAAAGACGGUCUUGCUGUCACUUAUAGAUGGAUCCGCGCUGCAUUAGCUAGUUGGUAAGGUAACGGCUUACCAAGGCAACGAUGCAUAGCCGACCUGAGAGGGUGAUCGGCCACACUGGAACUGAGACACGGUCCAGACUCCUACGGGAGGCAGCAGUAGGGAAUCUUCCGCAAUGGGCGAAAGCCUGACGGAGCAACGCCGCGUGAGUGAUGAAGGUCUUCGGAUCGUAAAACUCUGUUAUUAGGGAAGAACAUAUGUGUAAGUAACUGUGCACAUCUUGACGGUACCUAAUCAGAAAGCCACGGCUAACUACGUG
rnacentral:rRNA from 1 species